GACAGAGGGUGCAAGCGUUGUUCGGAAUUACUGGGCGUAAAGCGCGUGUAGGCGGCUCGGCAAGUCGGGUGUGAAAGCCCUGGGCUUAACCCAGGAAGUGCACUCGAAACUUCCGAGCUGGAGUCCUGGAGAGGAAGGCGGAAUUCUCGGUGUAGAGGUGAAAUUCGUAGAUAUCGAGAGGAACACCGGUGGCGAAGGCGGCCUUCUGGACAGUGACUGACGCUGAGACGCGAAAGCGUGGGGAGCAAACAGG
rnacentral:rRNA from 1 species